rnacentral:rRNA from 1 species
GCCUCCCAAAAGGUAACGGAGGCGCUCAAAGGUUCUCUCAGUACGGUCGGAAAUCGUACGUAGAGUGUAAAGGCAAAAGAGAGCUUGAUUGCAAGACAUACAGGUCGAGCAAGGAUGAAAAUCGGACUUAGUGAUCCGGUGGUUCUGCGUGGAAGGGCCAUCGCUCAACGGAUAAAAGCUACCCUGGGGAUAACAGGCUUAUCUCCCCCAAGAGUCCACAUCGACGGGGAGGUUUGGCACCUCGAUGUCGGCUCAUCACCUCCUGGGGCUGUAGUAGGUCCCAAGGGUUGGGCUGUUCGCCCAUUAAAGUGGUACGCGAGCUGGGUUCAGAACGUCGUGAGACAGUUCGGUCCCUAUCCGUCGCAGGCGUAGGAAAUUUGAGAAGACCUGUCCUUAGUACGAGAGGACCGGGAUGGACGUACCUCUGGUGUACCAGUUGUUCUGCCAAGGGCAUGGCUGGGUAGCUAUGUACGGAAUGGAUAAGCGCUGAAAGCAUCUAAGCGCGAAGCCAACUUCAAGAUAAGAUUUCCCACCGCAAGGGUAAGACCCCAGAAAGACUAUCUGGUUG